rnacentral:snRNA from 1 species
GCUUUUGCUAGGCUGCUACAUCAACCCAUUGAUCGCCAGGGUUGAUUCAGCUGAUCUGGCUGGUUAGGCAGGUGUCCCCUUCCUCCCUCAGCGCUCCAUGUGCUUCCCUCCCGAAGCAUCAAGCUCGGUCGAAGAGGACGGCCUUCCCGGAAUAGAGACGGAUCAGUCUUUGGUCAGAGGUAUAGGAGUAGCUGCGGUCCCCUACCAGAACCUCCUGAUACCUAUGUAUUUACAUAUUUUCAUAACACACUUGUUCCUCACAAUCUCUUUAACCUUUGUAUACAAACCUUUGCUUCAUCCUCUAAUAUUUAUCUGAGGUGUGACUUCCCUUCAAAU